rnacentral:lncRNA from 1 species
UAUUUGUGAUUUUACCGCACUCAAAUAUAUAUGGUCCCAUGGCUUUUCUUGGUGAAUUUUGGGGUUUUUCACGAUACCUGACGAUUUCGCAGAAAAUUUUCCCUAAUUUUGAGCAACAUAAAAAAAUUAUUUUCGGCAUUUCAUACUAUACAUUUAAGGACAAAUUUGUACUUGCAUGAAACUUCAUUCAUAAUGCUUUCCAGAAGAAAAAUAUAUAAAAGAUAUAACAACCAAUCACAGAGAGCCAUCUAUUUUUAUCUCUAUGUCAUGUUCCCUUCAUAAAAUGGCUGCGCCCAUGUAAUUUUAUUUGGUACAUUGUAACCUAUACGGUAAUAAACAAUUUCUGAAAUUUG